rnacentral:tRNA from 2 species
GCUCCCGUGGUGUAGUCCGGCCAAUCAUUCUGGCCUUUCGAGCCAGCCACCCGGGUUCAAAUCCCGGCGGGAGCA